rnacentral:rRNA from 1 species
AGUGAACGCUGGCGGUAGGCCUAACACAUGCAAGUCGAACGGCAGCACAGUAAGAGCUUGCUCUUACGGGUGGCGAGUGGCGGACGGGUGAGGAAUACAUCGGAAUCUACUUUUUCGUGGGGGAUAACGUAGGGAAACUUACGCUAAUACCGCAUACGACCUACGGGUGAAAGCAGGGGAUCUUCGGACCUUGCGCGAUUGAAUGAGCCGAUGCCGGAUUAGCUAGUUGGCGGGGUAAAGGCCCACCAAGGCGAGGAUCCGUAGCCGGUCUGUGAGGAGGAUCAGCCGCACUGGAACUUGGACACGGUCCAGAGUCCUACGGGAGGCAGCAGUGGGGAAUAUUGGACAAUGGGCGCAAGCCUGAUCCAGCCAUACCGCGUGGGUGAAGAAGGCCUUCGGGUUGUAAAGCCCUUUUGUUGGGAAAGAAAAGCAGCAGGUUAAUACCCCGCUGUUCUGACGGUACCCAAAGAAUAAGCACCGGCUAACUUCGUG